rnacentral:rRNA from 1 species
AGUGAACGCUGGCGGUAGGCCUAACACAUGCCAGUCGAACGGCAGCACAGUAAGAGCUUGCUCUUACGGGUGGCGAGUGGCAGACGGGUGAGGAAUACAUCGGAAUCUACUUUUUCGUGGGGGAUAACGUAGGGAAACUUACGCUAAUACCGCAUACGACCUACGGGUGAAAGCAGGCGGUCUUCGGACCUUGCGCGAUUGAGUGAGCCGAUGUCGGAUUAGCUAGUUGGCGGGGUACAGCCCCACCCCGGCGACGAUCCGUAGCUGGUCGCAGUGGAUGAUCACCCGUACUGGAAUUGAGACACGGCCCAGCCUCCUACGGGAGGCAGCAGUGGGGAAUAUUGGACAAUGGGCGCAAGCCUGAUCCAGCCAUCCCGCGUGGGUGAAGAAGGCCUUCGGGUUGUAAAGCCCUUUUGUUGGGAAAGAAAAGCAGCAGGUUAAUACCCCGCUGUGCUGACGGUACCCAAAGAAUAAGCACCGGCUAACUUCGUG